rnacentral:rRNA from 1 species
UACAGAGGGGGCAAGCGUUGUUCGGAAUCACUGGGCGUAAAGCGCACGUAGGCGGCUUUCUAAGUCAGGGGUGAAAUCCUGGAGCUCAACUCCAGAACUGCCUUUGAUACUGGGGAGCUCGAGUCCGGAAGAGGUGAGUGGAACUCCGAGUGUAGAGGUGAAAUUCGUAGAUAUUCGGAAGAACACCAGUGGCGAAGGCGGCUCACUGGUCCGGUACUGACGCUGAGGUGCGAAAGCGUGGGGAGCAAACAGG